CAUCGUGUCAAAUAAGAAACGAAUAAAAACCAUCUCAUUCGAGGAAAUUGACUCUUGGACAUGGAUUAUCGUGAUAAUAACUAUUUAAAAUAAUAAUCACGUUUGGAGAAACUGUAUUUGAGGAGUAGGCAAGUGUCAUUUUUAUGAAAAGUGCGGGACCUGUAGCAAUAAUAAUAGCCAGCCACGAGGGGUCUCACUUUGACUGAAUUUUAUGUCCUCGCUCAUCAUGUCAUCACUCUGUCAUGUUCGCAUGCUUAAUUGCCAGCAAGAGCCUGUAUCCCCGCCCGCCCCGACCAGGUACGGUAACCGUUAACGUUACUGUCGUUCAAAAUGUCCAACGAAUCGGCUUUAGUUGAGAGCAUCGGCAGAGCCGUCCUGGCGGCUAUCCAAAAUGUUUCAACAACGACAACAACCGCCUCCGGGCCACCACAUCGGUUCCCACCACUUACAAUUACACACCGGGGCCAGCCACACCCACCACCUCCACUGGGACAUCAUACCGCUCGGGCUCUAGCACCAGCGUUACCACACCUUUACCAGCAACAGACUUCGCUCCAGUGACCUGUCUGUCAAAUGACUACCAAGGAAGACAUCAGAUUUCCAAAGAGGAGCUUGAACAUGUUCUUUCACUGAAAACCACCUUUACAGAAGCGGCAUCUAUUCUUUCAAUCUCAAGGCCAACUUUCUACAAGUUACUAACUGCAAGACUAUAAUAUCCCAACAUCAAAAUUUAAGAGCAUCAGUGAUCAACAGUUGGAUCUUGAAGUGUCACACAUAAAAACUGAACACCCAAAUGUUGGAGAAGUGAUGCUUAUGGGGCAUCUCCGCUCCAAAAACAUUGUGGUUCAAAGACAACGUGUAAGAGAUUCUCUGCGAAGAAUGGACCCAAUUGGUGUCCUAGCCAGGAGAAGAACAGCAAUAGCUCGGCGAGUAUACUCUGUCCCCCACCCAAAUUUCAUAUGGCAUGUAGAUGGAAAUCAUAAGUUGAUUAGGUGGAAAUUAGUUGUUCAUGGUGCCAUAGACGGCUACAGUAGGAUGUUGAUGUUUCUUCACUGCUCCAACAAUAAUCGUGCUGAAACUUUUAAAGACCUCUUUACUGCAGCUGUUGGACAGUUUGGCAGACCACUGCACAUCAGGACUGAUCACGGAGGAGAAAACGUUCAGAUUUGGGAGGACAUGCAUGCGAGCAGGGGGGAAGGCUCUGUGUUAACAGGAAGUUCUGUACACAACCAGAGGAAAGAGCGUUUUAAUCGAAACUUGAACAAAAACUGCAGCCAUGUUUAUGCACCCAUUUUUUUAUGAACUGGAAUCCCUGGGUAUCCUAGACAUUGACAAUGCAACAGACCUAUUUUGUCUCCAUUAUGUCUUUCUACCCCGAAUCAACCGCACUUUGGAGGAAUUCAAAGCUGGAUUUAACAAUCACUCUAUAUCAUCUGAAGGAAAUAGAACACCAGUUCAGCUUUUUACUCUGGACAAUGAUUUGCCUCAUUUUCACAACCCAGAACGCUCAACAGCAGGGGUAGUUUUUUGUUCCUCACACAACUAUCAAAGAGGAUUUUCCCCAUUGAAUGAUAGGGAUUUGCAAGAACUGAAUGCUGCCAUUAACCCUCUUCAAAAUGACAACAACAAUGGCAAAACAUUGUUUCAGAGAACACAACAGUUUAUUUUUGAUAAACUCGUAAAUGUGUGACUUCAGCAUAACAUGGACAACUGGGUAACACUAGCCUUUUUGUACUUUCAAAAGUACACAACACAAAUAUUGAUGUUUUGUUGUGCUUCUUGAACUACAAGAUUUCAAACCUCUUGCCAGCAUAUAGAUGUUUGAAAAUUACAUGGCGGCACAUACUUGAUGUCAGUGUUAAAAAGGCUACAGACGCACUUUUGCAUCUGUUAGUUUUCUGUCAAGUCAAAAGCAAUGGUAGUGUGGAUAAAAACAAGAUGACUCAUGUUAUGUGAAAGAACAGUAAAAUACUUUUUAGGCUCUACAGAUUGUCUACAGACAGUAUUGAUACAUAACUGAUUUCCACUACAUUGUUCUUGUUUUUUAA